rnacentral:tRNA from 1 species
ACUCGCUUGGUGAAAUUAGGUAAACACGAUGGAUUUAAAAUUCAUUCUUUUUAAAGUUAUUGGUUCAAGUCCAAUAGUGAGUAC